CCCACUAAACCGAGCGGCCCAAGAUAAUUCACUUCGGGAGGAUUUAGACAGACUAUUUGAGAUGGUGGAAGCUCUCGUAGCUGCCCAGCAAAGGCGAAAGGAGAGAAGGGAGUUACCCGGACCUCCUCCGCUAUCGCAGGUUGAGCCCCCGCUACAGCAGGCUGAUCCCUAGCCACCCCGGCAGGAGCCUGCUCCUCCACAGUACCACCCGGCACCACAGCCGCGGUACGACCCGGUACCACAGCCACGGUACCACCAGGCACCGCCACAGCACAUUUCAGUACCCCCACCACAUCAGCAGGUGCCACCACAGGGACCCCCAGUUCACCCUCAGCCGGCCCCAGUCCCUCUACCUCGGGACCCCGCUCCUUCCUUGAUCGACCCCGGCUUCAUAGAGAGGUACAGAAGACUGAACCCUUCUACUUUUGCAGGGGGAUCCUCUUUUGAAGAGGCCCAAUACUGGCUG
rnacentral:lncRNA from 1 species